AUGGGGGAAGAAAUAUUCAAACCCCUUUCUCUUUUUUUUUUUUUGAGACGGAAUCUCGCUUGUCGCCCAGGCUGGAGUGCAGUGGCCGGAUCUCAGCUCACUGCAAGCUCCGCCUCCCGGGUUCAUGCCAUUCUCCUGCCUCAGCCUCCCGAUAGCUGGGACUACAGGCGCCCGCCACCGCGCCCGGCUAGUUUUUUGUAUUUUUUUAAGUAGAGACGGGGUUUCACCAUGUUAGCCAGGAUGGUCUCGAUCUCCUGACCUCGUGAUCCGCCCGUCUCGGCCUCCCAAAGUGCUGGGAUUACAGGCUUGAGCCACCGCGCCCGGCCUAAUUUUUUUUUUAAAGUAGCAAUGGGGUUUCACCAUAUUGGCCAGGCUGAUCUCAUACUCCUGACCUCAGGUGAUCCACCCGCCUCAGCCUCCCAAAGUGCUGAGAUUACAGGUGCGAACCACUGCGCCUGGCCUACAAAGGGUUUUUAAUGCAUGAAAAAAGCCACUAAAGUGCCAUUCUUUCUUCAAAGCAAUAUUAUUUUCAAGUAUAUUAAUUUGUUAGAAAACUUUCCCAUUGGAAAUAUUGUCAGUUACCUGUACUGUAACAGCUUAUGUUCAGUAAUCAAAAUUUUCUACGUGACUAUAAACCACUCUCACACAGAAGGCAUUAGAUAAACAUACACAACAGUUGGGUUCCUUUAUACAAAUGUGGGAUAAGAAAUACUUUCUUGACAUUUUUCCAUGGCCAAGUAUUCCCAUUAAAGUAAGAACAAGAAUUGAAGAGACAUUUUGUGUAUAGAAAAAUUUUCAUUUAAAAAGAUACUAUUGGUAACCUUGAAGGCAUAGAUAAUGGGCAUGUCAUAAAAUUAUCAAUUAUAACUGGCAUUGAGGGACUGCCCUUCCAAAACUAAACUGAGGCUUCCCUGGUUACAGAUAUAGAACUAGAUCACUCCCUUUUCAAGUAUGGUGGAAUCAUCCAGUGCAUAUGUAUACAAAGGAUCUAGUGAAUCAUGUGAUGGUCAUCGGCCUUCUUUGAUUGCAUUAAUGCAUCAUGCUAAACAUUCAGCACAGGUUAACAAUUCCAGAUUUGUUUCUUCUUCAACAACUCAAUGCUCUAAAUUUUACUAUGUCUUUAAUAAGACCUUCCCAAAUAAAAAAUAAUCAUUUGGAGAUUUUCCUCUGCUCUCUACCAUACAUUUGCACCAGGAGGAAGAUGGAAUGAAUAUGCAGUGUUAAGUUGAUGUAUGCGAACAGUGAUUUGAUAUUAUGCCAAAGAGAAAACUGCCCCACUUAAAUUCAGUUAAAUAAGAUGACUAAAAGUAAAUAAGUUGAAACACUGGAAAUUAUUUUUCUCAUGUUCUCUUGAUGCAAUGAAGGGAAUAUGAUACUACAGUAUAUGAAGUUGUUGGUGUUAUAUUAUGCACAACAUAUUUUGACUAUUUGAAUAAAUGUUAAUUUUUUAAUCAAUUUGUACCUUAACAGUGACUGGUUAUCUGUAAGUACAGAUAUGGAUUGUAUUUUUGUGUGAUUUUUUGUCCUUUUAGUGAUUUUUUUUUUUUUUUUUGAGACGGAGUCUCGCUCUGUCACCCGGGCUGGAGUGCAGUGGUGCUAUCUCGGCUCACUGCAAGCUCCGCCUCCCGGGUUCACGCCAUUCUCCUGCCUCAGCCUCCCGAGUAGUUGGUACUACAGGCGCCCGCCACUGCGCCCGGCUAAUUUUUUGUAUUUUUAGUAGAGACGGGGUUUCACCGUGUUAGCCAGGAUGGUCUCGAUCUCCUGACCUCGUGAUCCGCCCGCCUCGGCCUCCCAAAGUGCUGGGAUUACAGGCGUGAGCCACCGCGCCCAGCCCCUUUUAGUGAUUUUUUAAAAUGAGACAUGGAAUUAACAAUGAAAUGGGAUUUUUUUUCUAACCUAAUCAAUUGUUACAUGAAAAAUUUAUUUAUUAUUUAAUUUUUGAGAUGGAAUCUCA
rnacentral:lncRNA from 1 species